UACGGAGGAUGCAAGCGUUAUCCGGAUUUAUUGGGCGUAAAGCGUCCGCAGGUGGUUUUCCAAGUCUGCUGUUAAAGCGCGAGGCUUAACCUCGUACAGGCAGUGGAAACUGGAUGACUAGAGUAUGGUAGGGGUAGCGGGAAUUCCCAGUGUAGCGGUGAAAUGCGUAGAUAUUGGGAAGAACACCAGCGGCGAAAGCACGCUACUGGGCCAUUACUGACACUCAUGGACGAAAGCUAGGGGAGCGAAAGGG
rnacentral:rRNA from 1 species